rnacentral:rRNA from 1 species
AGUCGGUUAGUCCGAUACGAGCGCACCCUAUCCUUAGUUGCCAGCACGUAAUGGUGGGGACUCUAGGGAAACUGCCCGGGCAUAACCGGAAGGAAGGUGGGGUCGACGUCAAGUCAGUAUGUCCCUUACGUUCAGGGUCUACACACGUAAUACAAUGGGGAGUACAGAGGGUAGCAAUACUGCGAAGUGGAGCCAAUCCCAAAAAACUCCCCCAAGUUCGGAUUGCAGUCUGCAACUCGACUGCAUGAAGCAGGAAUCGCUAGUAAUCGCGCAUCAGCAUGGCGCGGUGAAUACGUUCCCGGGUCUUGUACACACCGCCCGUCACGCCAUGGAAGCCGGUAGCACCCAACGUCAGUGUCCUAACCUUCGGGAAGGAGCUGCUUAAGGUGAGAUUGGUAACUGGGGCGAAGUCGUAACAAGGUAGCCGUACCGGAAGGUGCGGCUGGAUUACCUCCUUUCU